rnacentral:lncRNA from 1 species
CACAUUGUUUCCUGAGCAUUUUUCCACCUUUCCUUGACCCGCUAGCAAAACAUGAUUUGUAUUUAUUCCAAAUCAAAAGUCCUUUAUGCUAACCGAAGUGGCGAAAAAAGGAACUUUCUGUACUCUCCAGUAUCCUUCUUUGGGUCUCACUGCAGACUUAAUAUCCAUGAAUCUAUGAAGUACAUGUCUAAGAUAAGGAUCCUGUUCAGUGAAUUCCUGGUAUAGCACACAGCUGGCCCCAGAACGAGGAAGAACUGAAGUGUCUCAAGCCCUACUGCUUCUGUCAUACUAUUUGUGAAGAACCCUUCCUGGUAAAACCAAAACAAAAUGUUCAAGCAAAAUCAACACAGCAACAAUUCAAGUCCAACAGUAUUCUCACCUGUCUACUGAAAAGGGGAAGGUAUGUUUCUUAUUAUACGGGCUCCAGAUAGAAGAUAGAUCAUUACAGUUUCCCCAGUUUGGCGCUUCUUGCUGUCAUUAUCAUUUACAUUAUUGUAGUCAUAGUCUUUCAGUUUUCCUUUCUUCAUUCAUUCUGUCAUCACUUCAUACAAACCCCGCCCCCCUUCCCUGAAUUCUUCACAUUUCUUGUUUCUUGGGGUGCAAUAAUAUUGUGUUACACUGAUGUAUCACAUUCACAGUCAGCUAUUCGUCCAUCAAUGGGCACCUAUUUUGUUUCCUGUCUUUCCUUACCACUGUUUUGCCAUGAACAUUUUUUUACAAAGCAUUUUCUUGAUGACAAACUGGAGAGGUAGGUAAGUAGUAAAAGAAGCUUUGUAUUUGGGUUGUUUUUUUUUUUAACUAAUUUCUAACAGUGACAUGGCAAGUAAGCUUCAGAACUGGGAUUCUAACUUGGACAUCCAUAAUUACCUACUAUACUAUCUCUUAAAUGUACAGUCUCUUUGAGGAGACAAAACUGUUUCUUUUUCACAUUCUGUCUCUGAUUCUUAGUUUUUUACAUGUACUUUUACACAAUUAUAUAAAACUACAAGGAUAUAAUAAAGUGCUAAAUUGAACAUAAGAAAGUCCCCA